rnacentral:misc_RNA from 1 species
AAGGAUCAUUAUUGAAAUAAACCUGAUAAGUUGCUGCUGGUUCUCUAGGGAGCAUGUGCACACUUGUCAUCUUUGUAUCUUCACCUGUGCACCUUUUGUAGACCUGACUAUCUCUCUGACUGCUUUUAGCACUCAGGAUUGAGGAUUGACUUUCUGUCUCUUCUUACAUUUUCAGGUCUAUGUUUAUUCAUAUACCCUAAUCCAAACAACUCAACCUAGCCUUUAGUUGCAGUAGAUCAACAGCUUCGGCAGUAGAUCUUCUGUAACCACACAAACCUAAUCCACACAAAGGAUUAUAACUAAGCUCAUCCACAAAACCAAAUUCUCAACGAUGGAUAUCUUGGUUCCC